ACUCUUUGCUCAUCUUCCUUGAGCCAGCUUUAAGUGGUGAUGGCCAGGGCUCCAUCCUAAGCCCUUUUCCCUUGGGAACACUAUGGCCUCAUUGCUGUAAACACCCCAUUGCUCUGAUGGCCCACAUCUCUGUCUCCAGCCCCACCUCUCCUGAAAGUCCAAUUCUGCUACCCAGAGGCCUUCCCAGGUAGAGGGCUAAAGGUCCCCAGGGACUGGAGAAUUCAGUGAUCAGCCAGGCUGCAGAUCAAGGUUGAACUUGGAAGAAAACCACACCUGGUUCCUGGCUUGGAGUUGGAGGCUGCGCUUUCCGUGAACUUGGCCGUCCGAACUCCAGCUCUCCCUGGCCUCCUGGUUCCCAGGAUCCAGUCUCACUCCACCCCACCCUACCUCACCUCCCACCAAGCUGCCCUGGAAAGAGUCUGGCCUCUGGGACCAGAAACACGGGCCUGAGUCUAGGUUCUGCUGCUUCCUCACUGUGGGACCAAGGCCAAGACCGUCACUUAGCUGCACCUCUAUUUCUGCAUCUGUAAAAUGGGGUCAUAAUCAUCGCCCACACCCCCAAACUCAGCACUGCUCAUUCGUUCGGCCAGAGUGGCUUGGGCAUCUGCUCUGUGCUGGGCCCUAGGCCCUGCGGGAUACAGGGAACAGUUGGACAGAGCCUCUGUCUAUGGGGUGGAGAGAGGGG
rnacentral:lncRNA from 1 species